ACGGCAAUAUCACGUUGAAAAUAUCCGUUCCCCUAAGAUCACCGAAGUUAAGCAACGUCGAGCCUGCUCAGUACCUAAAUGAGUUACCGCUUGGGAAUAACGUGCUGUA